rnacentral:rRNA from 1 species
AUCGACAAUNCCCGUUAANUUUCACNUUAAUUCAAAACCUAUAUACCGCCAUUUCAAGAACUAAUUAUAAAAUAUUCCUUCAAAAAUCAAUAAAAAAUUAGGUCAAGGUGUAAUUUAUAUUAAAGAAUAAGAUGAAUUACAUUAAAUAUUAUUUAAAGAUUACUAAUAAUUAUAUUAAUAUAAAUAAGAAUUUAAAAGUAAUAUUUAAAUAAUAUUACAAUAUGAUAAAGAUCAUAAAUGUGUACACAUCGCCC